rnacentral:tRNA from 1 species
GCCCGGAUGGUGGAAUGCAGACACGGUGAGCUUAAACCUCACUGGCCGUGAAGGCCGUGCCGGUUCAAGUCCGGCUCCGGGCACCA